CUCGUAGGUGGCCAACUAAGUCAAACGUGAAAUCCCUCGGCUUAACCGGGGAACUGCGUUUGAUACUGGAUGGCUUGAGUUUGGGAGAGGGAUGCGGAAUUCCAGGUGUAGCGGUGAAAUGCGUAGAUAUCUGGAGGAACACCGGUGGCGAAGGCGGGCAUCCUGGACCAAUACUGACGCUGAGGAGCGAAAGCUAGGGGGAGCAAACGG
rnacentral:rRNA from 1 species